AGUUUGAUCCUGGCUCAGGAUGAACGCUAGCGGUGCGCCUAACACAUGCAAGUCGAGCGAGAAGAUGGAGUAGCUUGCUACAAAGUUGGAAAGCGGCGAACGGGUGAGUAACACGUUGGUAUCUGCCCUCUGGUCAGGGAUAGCCAUCCGAAAGGAUGGUUAAUACCGGAUAGUCUCGAAAGAGUAAAGAUUUAUUGCCAGAGGAGGAACCUGCGGCCUAUCAGCUAGUUGGUGAGGUAGAAGCUCACCAAGGCUAUGACGGGUAGUUGAUCUGAGAGGAUGAUCAGCCACAAUGGAACUGAGACACGGUCCAUACUCCUACGGGAGGCAGCAGUGAGGAAUCUUCCACAAUGGGGGCAACCCUGAUGGAGCGACACCGCGUGAAGGAUGAAGGUCUAACGAUUGUAAACUUCUUUUCUGAGGGAGCAUAAUGAGAGUACUUCAGGAAUAAGGGACGGCUAAAUACGUGCCAGCAGCCGCGGUAAUACGUAUGUCUCGAGCGUUAUCCGGAAUUACUGGGUGUAAAGGGUUUGUAGGUUGUUUGUUAAGUAGGGUAUGAAAGACCGGAGCUCAACUCCGUGUUUGUAUUCUAAACUGGCUAACUAGAGUUAGGGAGAGGUAAGCGGAAUUUUAAGUGUAGGGGUGCAAUCCGUAGAUACUUAGAAGAACACCAAAAGCGAAGGCAGCUUACUGGAACUAUACUGACGCUGAAGAACGAAAGCGUGGGGAGCGAAAAGGAUUAGAUACCCUUGUAGUCCACGCCCUAAACGAUGAUAACUUAGUGUUGGGGGUAACCUCAGUGCUGAAGCUAACGCGUUAAGUUAUCCACCUGAGGAGUACGGUCGCAAGAUUAAAACUCAAAGGAUAGACGGGGACCCACACAAGCAGUGGAUC
rnacentral:rRNA from 1 species